AGCUCCAAUAGCGUAUAUUAAAGUUGUUGCAGUUAAAAAGCUCGUAGUUGGAUUUCUGACAUCUUUUUUCUUCCUUUCUUGUUUGCUAAUUGCAAAUGUUAGGUUUGAUUGGAUGUCUUCCUUCCCUGUUAAUUUGUCCUUUGCGCAUUAACUUGCUCUUGGGUCAAAUGGGGAUCAUUUACUGUGAAAAAAUUAGAGUGUUCAAAGCAAGUAUUAAUUUCUUGAAUACAUUAGCAUGGAAUAAUAAGAUAGGACUUUGGUUAUAUUUUGUUGGUUUGCAAGCUAAGGUAAUGAUUAAUAGGAACAUAUUGGGGAUAUCUGUAUUUUUUAGUCAGAGGUGAAAUUCUUGGAUUUAAGAAAGACAAACUACAGCGAAAGCAUUUAUCAAGGAUGUUUUCAUUG
rnacentral:rRNA from 1 species